GGACGAGGGAGGAGGGAGCCCGUGAGCUAGCUCCACUCCUUCCUUCUACUCCCCUCCCGUCUUUCUUGAUUGCGCUCUGGACGCCUCCCGGAAGCGAGGAGCUCGGAUCCCAACCUGCAGAGCCGGCCAGUCUCCUUCUCUCCUACCCCCGCCCCCGCACCCCGAUAGAAGAUGCUCUCUCUUUCUGAAGAUUCUUUUGAUGACUUUAUCUGAUGUUUGGACUUUACUGGAAACUAAGCUCUCUAAGAUGAGGAAACUGAGACUCAGAAAGAUUGAAUGACUUGCCCAG